rnacentral:rRNA from 1 species
UACGUAGGGUGCGAGCGUUGUCCGGAAUUAUUGGGCGUAAAGGGCUCGUAGGCGGUCUGUCGCGUCGGGAGUGAAAACUCAGGGCUUAACCCUGAGCCUGCUUCCGAUACGGGCAGACUAGAGGUAUGCAGGGGAGAACGGAAUUCCUGGUGUAGCGGUGAAAUGCGCAGAUAUCAGGAGGAACACCGGUGGCGAAGGCGGUUCUCUGGGCAUUAACUGACGCUAAGGAGCGAAAGCAUGGGGAGCGAACGAGGA